GUAACGACUCUCGGCAACGGAUAUCUCGGCUCUCGCAUCGAUGAAGAACGUAGCGAAAUGCGAUACUUGGUGUGAAUUGCAGAAUCACGUGAACCAUCGAGUCUUUGAACGCAAGUUGCGCCCGAAGCCAUCAGGUUGAGGGCACGUCUGCCUGGGCGUCACG
rnacentral:rRNA from 1 species